rnacentral:rRNA from 1 species
GCUUGUCUCAAAGAUUAAGCCAUGCAUGUCUAAGUAUAAAUAAUUCUAUACUGUGAAACUGCGAAUGGCUCAUUAUAUCAGUUAUAGUUUAUUUGAUAGUCCCUUACUACUUGGAUAACCGUAGUAACUCUAGAGCUAAUACAUGCGCAAAUUCCCGACUGCCGCAAGGCGGAAAGGAUGUAUUUAUUAGAUCCAACCAGCCCGGUUCGCCGGAGUCCCUGGUGAGUCAUAAUAACUGAUCGAAUCGCAAGGCCUUUGGCCGCGAUAAGUCAUUCAAGUUUCUGCCCCAUCAGCUUUCGAUGGUAGUGUAUUGGACUACCAUGGCGUUCACGGGUAACGGAGAAUUAGGGUUCGAUUCCGGAGAGGGAGCCUGAGAAACGGCUACCACAUCUAAGGAAGGCAGCAGG